AAAAUGUUCCUUGGGUUUCUGCAGCAGCUGGAAGAUGAGAGGGCCCUAACUCCAUCAAAAAGACUGCUUUGGUCCAGAGGGGUGUAUGUGUGUAUUAAAGUCUCACCUCGUAUCUGUGGUUUUCUACUGCCCAUCUGCUGUGUGAGCCAUCCAUGAAACAGCAUCAUUGUCUGCACAAGAGAACAGUGAAGAGAUGGAUGUUUAUUAUUGUCCAUUUUCAGAUUACUGCUUUCAGAUACUGCCUCUGGUAUGCAAACACAAAUACGAAGGUAAAUGACAACAAUGACCAAUUCAGUACUGAGGAAACACAGCCGUGUCACCCCAGGAAAGAAGAGAAAACAUGAUACUUGUGAUAGCAGAAUGGGACCUUCAGUUUUGGAGCAGAUGCCCAGAGAGGAGACCAGGUUCACUUCAUUUGUGCACAUAUUUCACUGUUGCUGCACUGAACCAACAUGAAAUGCUGCAUCAGAGAAACAGCUAUUUAAGGAAGCUUGGACCUACAGUUGCUCCAUGUAUUUUUGGACCCCAAAUUUUAAAAUGGAUAAGAAGAUAGACAUUGCUGGCCUAUACGAAAUGACACAAGAAAAGAAGCUCAUCAUGAAACCUGGAGUUGAAAUGUAUCACGUACCAUAUUAUUUGACAUUCAUGAAUACCACACUUCUGAUAUAAAAGACCUAUUAAUAUGUUCUAUGUUUUUACCUAGCAGUAACUUUCUAAUUGUGAUCAGGUAAUCCUUAUCUCUGUACAGAUAUCAUCAAAACGGAAUGGGUGUCCCAAGGGAGUUGAACUGACUCCCCAAAUACCUGUAGAUUUUAAAAUAUUUUAAACUAUAAUACAGUACUGAAAUCCAAAUUAGCAGUUCCUAUGGCAACCACAGUUUAUACACGGAAAAUAUCUGUCCUAAACAAUCUAUCCAGUGAUGCAUGAACCAUGCUGUAAGAAUUACAGCAUUCUGUAUUACACUAAUUUUGAAUCCUAAAACUCUCCUGCUCACCAACGCUAAGAUCACUUUAUGUGGACUAUUACAAGACUUACUCUGCUGAAGUGCAAAAAAGCACAUCUGUUUGUAGUAAGGAUGCAGAGAACUCAUUAUAAUAGGAUUUGGACAUCUAUAAUUGCUAUGUUCUGUUCGAAGACCUUCUGUCAUAUUCAUAUAAUCUUUAUUGGAGAUAUCCAAACAAAAUGAUUCAUAAAAAGCAAUAAUUAAUUGGAGGAAUGCCAGAGAUCUAAAACAAACACUACCAUUAUCAUCUCUGGUAAGCCCAAAAUAGCCUCGAGAGAUGCCACUGUCACAAUGAAAAAGCUUUCAGAACAGUCUGAAGAUGUAUUCUACAUGUUAAUAGAAUUAUUCUGCACAGUCUAAGACCUUGAGAGGUAUAUUUAGAAUACCAUUUUUUUGAAAAUAAGCUGUCUACAAUAUUGCUGCUAACUGACAGCUGUCUCUAAUUUAAGGACCAGGUCAUGGAACAUUUUGUUUGUGUAAAGUGAAAAGGGAACCCAGCUCUUACCGCAGCUGAAUGCUCCAGCCUAGGAGGGCAAAACGAAGAAAGGAAAUUUCACUUGGCUACCAUUUGUUGUCAUCCUUACGUAUGUGGGAAGGCAUGAAGAGUGUGGAAAGUCAGUACUCAAUAUAGCUGCAAAUUUGGGUGUGUAAGCAUUAUGAUACACUGUAAAACCUAUAAGCAACCUUAUUGUAUUUUCUUUUGUUUAUCUUGAUUGUGGAAAGGUCAUGUACCUUGAAUAAGUACAUAAGCAUGUUACUGGAAUUAAUUCAGGAAAAAUUAUUAGAUCCACCAAUAAAAUAUGUUG
ensembl:lncRNA